rnacentral:rRNA from 1 species
GACGAACGCUGGCGGCGUGCCUAAUACAUGCAAGUAGAACGCACAGUUUAUACCGUAGCUUGCUACACCAUAGACUGUGAGUUGCGAACGGGUGAGUAACGCGUAGGUAACCUGCCUGGUAGCGGGGGAUAACUAUUGGAAACGAUAGCUAAUACCGCAUAAUAUUAAUUAUUGCAUGAUAAUUGAUUGAAAGAUGCAACUGCAUCACUACCAGAUGGACCUGCGUUGUAUUAGCUAGUAGGUGGGGUAACGGCUCACCUAGGCGACGAUACAUAGCCGACCUGGGAGGGUGAUCGGCCACACUGGGACUGAGACACGGCCCAGGCUCCUACGGGAGGCAGCAGUAGGGAAUCUUCGGCAAUGGACGAAAGUCUGACCGAGCAACGCCGCGUGAGUGAAGAAGGGUUUCGGAUCGUAAAGCUCUGUUGUAAGAGAAGAACGGGUGUGAGAGUGGAAAGUUCACACUGUGACGGUAUCUUACCAGAAAGGGACGGCUAACUACGUG